AUACGGAGGAUCCGAGCGUUAUCCGGAUUUAUUGGGUUUAAAGGGUGCGCAGGCGGCCAUUUAAGUCAGCGGUUAAAUCGUGGGGCUCAACCCCAUUCUGCCGUUGAUACUGGGUGGCUUGAUUGCGGUCGAGGUUGGCGGAAUUCGUUGUGUAGCGGGGAAAUGCAUAGAUAUGACGAAGAACACCGAUUGCGUAGGCAGCUGACCAGACCGCAAAUGACGCUCAUGCACGAAAGUGCGGGGAUCGAACAGGAUUAGAUACCCUGGUAGUCCGCACAGUAAACGGUGAAUACUUGUUUUCGGCGAUAUAAUGUCGGAGGCAAAGCGAAAGCGAUAAGUAUUCCACCUGGGGAGUACGCCGGCAACGGUGAAACUCAAAUGAAUUGACGGGG
rnacentral:rRNA from 1 species